UACGUUUAUUACGGAAAGGGUAGGUACAAUACGAUGACGUCACGCAUCCGAGCCUCCGGUGAGAAGAAACCCGGAAGUAUCGCCGUGAAUCUCAUGAGAGUUGUGAAUGCGAUGUUGUGUAUUAGGCUGUAUAAUAUUAACGUAAAGAGAGUGAUAAUAUAACCUUUCAUCGCUUCCGAAAGUGACUAAAAGGGAUAUUGGACCUUAUUUUCAGAUUACAGACAACACGAGAGGGUGCUUCAAACUUUUUAAUCAGGACUGCAUUGUUUGUUCACUCCCGGUGUUACACAGACUGAAACGAGGAAGUGUGACAAGUUUGUUUACAUGGUGCUGUAAACUCCAACCCAGGAGGACACUUCAGAGGAAUCAAGGUGUCUGUGAUAUUGAAACACUAAAGGAAGAAGAGGAGGACCACCAUUCGUUUCCUGAUCAGAACACGAGAGAAGAAUCUAACAGUGGUUUGGGGGCAUUGCAAGACUAUGAUUACCUGGAAACAUCUCCUAUUAUGGAAGAUUAUUGCAACAUUUGUGUCUUGGAUCAGUUUUUCUUGUUUCUCUGCCGUAUGAGGCAGGGGCUUCUUUCCGCAGAUUUAGCUGUAAGGUUUAAAGGUCCCGUUUAUCCUGAUCCCAUUUUUUAAACUUUAGUUGGUGUGUAAUGUUGCUGUUAGAGCAUAAAUAAUAUCUGUAAAAUUAUAAAGCUCAAAAUUCUAUACCAA